rnacentral:rRNA from 1 species
GUGAGGAAUAUUGGACAAUGGGCGCAAGCCUGAUCCAGCCAUGCCGCGUGCAGGAAGACGCAUCUAUGGUGUGUAAACUGCUUUUGUACGGGAAGAAACACUCCCUCGUGAGGGAGCUUGACGGUACCGUAAGAAUAAGGAUCGGCUAACUCCGUGCCAGCAGCCGCGGUAAUACGGAGGAUCCAAGCGUUAUCCGGAAUCAUUGGGUUUAAAGGGUCCGUAGGCGGUUUAAUAAGUCAGUGGUGAAAGCCCAUCGCUCAACGAUGGAACGGCCAUUGAUACUGUUAGACUUGAAUUACAAGGAAGUAACUAGAAUAUGUAGUAUAGCGGUGAAAUGCUUAGAUAUUACAUGGAAUACCAAUUGCGAAGGCAGGUUACUACUUGUGGAUUGACGCUGAUGGACGAAAGCGUGGGGAGCGAACAGGAUUAGAUACCCGUGUAGUCC